rnacentral:tRNA from 2 species
GGAGGCGUGGCAGAGUCUGGUUGAUUGCAGCGGUCUUGAAAACCGCCAACCGUUCACGCGGUUCAGGGGUUCGAAUCCUCUCGCCUCCG